GUACUACACACUGUUAAAACAGCUGAACACAGAGAAAAGAAAGCACUUCAUCAUCAGUACACAUCCAGUCCUGCAACAAUAACUUGUUUACUCUGUGUGUGUGUGUGUGUGUGUGUGUUUCAUUGUUACCUCCAGCCCUGACUUACAUACCAAGAAUAGCCGUCAUUCCCUGCAGUGUUUAGACUGGGGCGGGAAGUCGCCCUGUGAUUGGACCACACCGAGGCUCCACAGCAGGGAGAUAAUGGCUGGCGUGUGUGUGCGUGUGGGUGUGGGUAUGGGUGUGUGUCCAUAUCUCAUAGCCCCGGUUGACAGACCUGCUGGCAGAGCAGAUUUCAUUAGCACUAACUAGCCAGAGGGAAAGUGAGACCAGAGGACACUCACAGGCGUCCAGAUCCAGAGAGAACGUGAAGACGACGCAGGAACGACUUGGUUGUGUUUACACGGAGACACCACUGAAAAACACACGGUGUGGUUUCUUUUUCCACCUCCCUUCUCUGACACAUCGUGACAUUUUCAAAUUGCUGCUUUUGAACGUCUCGAGUUUAGAUUUGACUCAGAGCUGGGACCGUAGACGCCUGGGAGUGUGACUGACGGACAAACAGAUAAACUUCUUCUGAGGUUUGCUGUCGUCACGACGCUGUGGUCGACUGAUAAGAACGGCAUGGUCGUGGGUAAGGAAACGGCUGUGAGAUCUGAGAACACACACACACACGAAAGACCCCCCCCACCACCACCACCCCAACAUCAAAGUCAAUUAAAUAUCUAUUAACGUUUGAAUUGGGACAGAAGGAAAAUAACACUGCGAAAAAACAAAUUGAUGCACACACUCCAGUCCAGUAGGUGGCAAUAAUGUGCUUAAAGUUAAUCUGCCAGAAAGAAAAAGAGGUAGAGGGGGCACACAAGAAAGUGGGGAUGGAUGGAUGGAUGGAUGGACGGACGGACACCAGCUGUGGACGAGCAGCAGUGGACUAAUUAUGACUGACAGUCAAAAAGCACAGGGGUCAAAGGGCAGGGCAAUUUAACACACACACACACAGAUUACAGCUACUUAAGGCUGGAGGUCAGCAGCUCUCCUUUGUUCUGUCUUUUUUGACCCACUAAUGUUGUGGACACACACACACACACACACACACACACACGCUGGUGUUCGUGAGCCCUUCCCAUAAACACAAGCCAAUCCUAGGUCCUUACUCUAACUUUAGCUAUUAAAUCAUAUAUUCCUAAUCUUAAUCCUUACUCUGAGUCUAAUCUGAGUCUAAUCCUAAUCUCAACAAAUCACAUUUUUAGUGAGGACCUGCAGAAAUGUCCCUGUAAGGACAACGUGUCCCCACAAGUGCAGCUUUACAGGAAGCACACACUUUCACCUUUGACCUCUUGCUUACCCACUCUGGAGUGCUCUUCUUACUGGUAUGACCUUUGACCCAUUACACACACACACACACACGGAGCAGAGACAAUGCACUCUCCACAGAAUUCCCUCUGGACUUGUUUUUUUUUCAGUUCCUUUCCUGUGUUUUAGAAUCUGGUCAUGUGACCAAGGCCAUUGGAAGAAGAAGAAGGAAAAAAAACCAAAAAACCAUGAGUGUGAAAUUCUUUAUCAGUAUCUCAGGAUGUUACUGUCCACAUGAGGAACAGAACUUCCUGAACACUGAGGCUGAUUUCCUGUCUGGGCAGCAGAGCAGGACGUGUUCCGACCUAAUCAGCCUGUGAUGAAGAGCAGGACAUCAACAUGAUGAUGAUGAUGAAGGAGUCCCGCUGACUCAUCACAGACCAUAACGGCUUUCACUUUGAACCCAGCGUUCAUGUAGAUCCAGCAGAGAGCUUCUCUCUUCACUCUAAUUUUUUUUCUUUCUUUUUUUUUGCCUCAUCUCCAGAGAGUCACCUGAGCUCGCUCUUUGUUUGGAGGCCUUUUUUUCUUCUUCUCUGGUCGUCUUUCUUCUCCAGCUACUGUUCAGAGUCGAGCUGAGCAGAUCAUUCUUCCAGGGAGGGGGAAUGAAGGGCGGGGGCGCUCAUUUAUUAACCCUUUAUAGAAACAUUAAUGAUGUUUAUGUGCUACAUUUGUGCCACUCACUCUGUGUGUUUGAUUUCAGAUCUGACUGAAGCUAACACGCUAACACGCUAACAUUUCUGUUUCACCCACUGAGGGUUUGACUGGAGCUGCGCAGUGGAGCAGUGGGUGGAAGAGGAGGUACCCAGGCUGCCCUGCAUCUUACGCACUGAACACACACACACACACACGCACAGUUGUUUUUCUGAGCGUGCCUCAUCAUCCUGAACUUUCCGCUCUCUCCUCCAGGCCGCUGACUCAGCGUUUGAUGAUCACGCUCGUUGUCUUUUUAUCAUUGUGAUCUUCAAACUCUCUGUCUCUCACACACACACACACACACACACACACAGUGAGUCAUGUCAACCUCCUGUAAUGUUAUCUGAUUAAAAAAGAUCCAAGUCUCGCCGAGUCGAGAUGAAAUUCUAACCGCAGUAAAUUUCUACAGAAACAUUGAACAAAUACGGGCCACGCGAUGGAAGUGGAGAUAAGUGCUCUUGCCUUACAGCAAGAGUGUCACAGGUUCAAUCCUCUCCUGAAAUCACGCAGAAUGCGGUUUGGGUUGAUUAGUGAAUCAAGAGUGAAUUUCUUUAUAUCUGACCAAUUUUUGAAGCCUUUUUUUUGGUCGACCUUUUUUCUUUUUUUUUUUUUUUUAAUUAUUCUAAUCAAUUUAUUUUUUCCUCAACCUCUCCGUCCUCUCACACGUGAAUAUUUCCACAGACGUUAACCCGUCUUCACUCACGUGCUUGGUGUGACCUCUACGUUCUCGACCUUUUUCGGCGUUCUCUGCUACACAUCCGCUCAGUGACCCAGUUAAUCACUCGCUCACUUCUUCAGUUACUCUCCAUCUGCAUCGGCCUCUCUCUCUCCCUCCCUCCCUCCCUCCCUGCUUCCUCCUCUCCCCCUUCUCCUCGGACGAACGCUCGGGUUGACUUCAUCCACCCAUGGGAAAUCUGCCUUACGUCACCUCCACCCUCCACUCAAAUCUCCUCUCUUCUCUAAUAUAUAUGUUUAUGUGUGAAAGUGUUUCAACAACGUAUUUGAAAAACCAGUUGUUAAAGGAAGUUUCCUUGUUUUUAUUACUUCCAUUAUUAUACUGAGAUCAUUAAUGAGGAGUAGAACCAGAGUGAAGCUGGGAUGGUUUCUAUCAGGGGCCUGGGUCAUGCCCCCUCCUCACCCCCACCCCCCCAGGACAACUGUGGUGGGGCAUGUUUUUAAUAUAGUGGCCACAGAUGGCGACAUGACUCUCUGAGAAUCGCUCGAGUCCUCGGAAAUCUGUCCAUCCGAGAGGAUUCAUCACAGGAGAGCGCCUCAGCUUUUACGCAGAUGACACCGACAUUUACGUGUAAAUAUCCUCAGAGGAUAAAGAUUCCGUCCAGUCUCUGAGGAAACGGAUUGAACUGAUGAAUAAUUGGAUUCACCGGAGGGAAAAGGUCGGCGUUCGGCGGAAACGUGGCAGAUAUUUGGCUCUGAAAGUCAUCAGGGUCGAAGAUGAAUAUGGAAACGUGUGGUGAAUUUCCAAGCUACUGUCACAAUCAGUCGAGUCACGAGUUGAACCCUGAACCCAUAUUUUCCUUUAACCCUGGAGGUCACCACAGAGGGGUAAAAACCUGCCCCAGGACAACAAGGAACUUCUAAUGAGCUCUGGUUUAUGGGCUGUGAGAUGAGCUGAUGUCCUCUGGGACGGCUGAUGACUUGAUUGCUCUGGCGCCCCCCAGAGUUAACAGCCACGUUGAAGCUCUGAGGUUUCUCUUGAGUCCGGCCUCGACUGCAGCAGCUCUCUGUAAUCAGGCAGCGGUGACUGAAAAUAAACCUCAGCUUCACUGGAAACAUCACUGCAGGGAAACUGGCUGCUGAGGCUCGUGGACUGUACUUCACAUCAACUCACGACGUUCGUGUCCAGGGAACGUUUUCAUCUGCCACGUAUCACUUCAGAACAACACACACACACACACACAGAGAGAGAGAGAGAGAGCUGUUUGUUUGCUUCUUCAUCUACAAAAUUACAAAUGAAGAAUUAGUUAUUUUUUGGUGAAGAAACACUUCUUAGUGAAAAUGUUUGGGAAGAAAAGAAAGCACCCAGUAGGUGGCACUGUAACUCAUUAAUGUUUGGUACAUGAUGGGAAGACCAAAGAAGAUUAAAAUUCUAAUUUGAUUUAAUACUUUUUCUUGUGUAAUGCGAUGGUUUUAAAUGUCAAUAACAGUUGUAUUUAUUUACUUCUGGUGUUAUCUCAUAAUCCCUCUGGAUUAUUUGACCAGAUGCAGCAGUGAAACACGUACAUGACGAGCAGCCGUUUGUCCGUGUCUUCCACCAGAACAGCUGUGGUUUUUCAUGAUGCCUGGCUCCACGUGGCCUCGGCUGCAGCUGUGAUUCCCCCGUCAGUACUUUAUCUUAUUUUACUUCAUUCACUCUGAACUCGGCCGGGCCAACGCAACCACUGGAUCCACUUGAGUGCAGUACCGAGGAGCAGCCACAGAAUGAAAAUGCUCCCCACAACAAAGUGGCUUUUGAUGCAGAGAAAAGUAAACUAUGAGAACGGGAACGCUCUGUGUUCUCUCUUUGUUUCUCUGCCUGCUCAUCCAGCCGGCCCUGAAAUAAACCGCCCCGACCUUGACGUUAGCACAGCUGUCAAAGAGCACACAACCACAGUACAAUCUCAAACUGCAGUAGAGUUUGGGAUUUUAAUGACACUUUAGCUUAAAACGGGUGUCAAACUCAUUUUGGUUUACAGGCCGCAUACAACCUAAUUAGAUGUCUAGUGGUAAUUAACUAUAAAAAACAAUUAGUCCAUGUUUUCAUUAGUCCUUUGUUUUCAUGCACAGAAGUUUCUUAAAUUCGAGAUUUCUUAAAUUCAUCAAGCCGGCCAGAUUGAACACCCUAACGGCCCGGUUUUGGCCCACAGACUGUAUGUUUGACCCCUGGCUUGAAACAUCCCUUUACAUUGACAUUUACCUUCAGACACCCCUGCUCUACCUCUCCAUCUGGUUGGGGGUUCUGUGGCCUGAACACUGGAGAAGAAGGGUAUCAAACCCCUGACCUUCUGGUAGAAGGCUGGUUCACAUCAGCUACUGAAGAACUAAUGACAUCCGGCUCAGAGCUGGAGUGUUAGAAUUGUUAAACCACUGCUUUAGAUCAACAGGUCAGAUGAUCAACAGCAUGACUGUGUUGAUGUUCUAAGGAGAACAUCAACACAGUCGCACUGAUUAUUUCUGGAGGGAAAUAAACGGAUCAUCAGACACAAGGACGAGAGAGAGAGAGAGAGACUGUUGGUGUGUGAACAGUGCCUCAGAACUCUGUGCUUAUGUAACUACACUGAGGCCAUGUGAGUGAAGCACUGACCCGACUAACUCUAAAAAACAGUGGAGAACCAGUGGGUGGAGAACGUGAGGAGACCAGAGAGAUGUCAGACACUGACGGGUAGGAAGAAGAAAAAAAAGAUAACGCUACUAAAGAUUAAUGAAGCACAGGAAAGUUCUUCACUUUUCUGUCUUCACUGUCAGAAAGUGGGUCAGCUCUCGUUCUCUCUCGCUCUUCACGGGGCUCCACCAUCCGCACAGCAGCCCGUGAUGGCGAUGCGGUUCGACAGGACUGACAUUGAUGAGAGGUGAUGAUGAAAAAAAGACGGGAAACACACAAAGAGGAGCACAACGAUGUUACACUUUUAGAUUUUCUUCAACAGAUAAAUAAAUAAUGGUUUGAGUUUUGACUCUUGUUGCAUCACUCCUUUACAUUUGAGAUCUUUUCUGGGUCACAGGAGGGUGGGAAGGGUCUCCAGUUAAGGUUUAAAGAUAAGUCGAUAUUACAAUUAAUUGCUGUUUUAACCGCUACGGUUUAUUUGUGGUAACGUUUCCUAAAUACCGUCAGAAAACAACAUGGCGGAACUACAUUUAAGCGCAACGCAAACGGAACGAAAACAAAGUUACACAACACCAGCGAGUUGUGUCGCGGCGUGUGUUGCUUUGUUUUCGAUCCGUGCAAGUUACAGAAGUAUGUCGUAGUCGUGCCCUAGUGGGGUGAACUACAGAAGAAAACCGUUUUUACCCUUGAAUAAGCGCAUUAAAUCAGCUUUGUGGGAUUAUUAUGGAUACAGUAAAAAAUGACCAUGGAGUUGUCGUAGAUGACGGUUUACCAGCACGCCAUAAAACAGUUGGUGAAAUGAGGAAGUACAUCCAUUGUUUUUACCGCCUGCGGUACAACCGGCCGACUUUGUUCGCCAAAGUAAAGACUGAGCGUUCCUCACGGAGGCCUGUCCAGGGUUGGUUGUUCGCACUUUGGUGUCCAGACUGGACGAAGGGCUGCCGAGGUUAUUCCCAAACUGUCCAGCAGAGGAGAAUGACAAAGAUGGAAUUACAGAG